rnacentral:rRNA from 1 species
AUGCCGGCCGGCACGCUGCUGGUGGUUGGUGGGUGGGUAUUCUCGCCGAUCAUCAAGGAGCUCAUCGGCGAGGUGAGAUCCUUGCUGAACAGCAAGUACUCGAGCUUCAAACAUUUGGCCAAGCACCUCCGUCAGCUUGUUGAUGUCCUGGAGGACAUGACCACGACCGUCGAGACCGUGCAGCAGCAGGGUCAACGGCGGCGCGCCGACGACGACGUCUCCGCCGGCGGCGGGACGGACAACUGGGUGGGCCGGCUCGUGGACGCCAUCCACGACGUGCGGUCCGUCCUGGACGACUUCACCUACGACGACAUCGUCAAGUCCAACUUGCGCGACAACAAGGUCGCUCAGGUUGCUCACUCCGUGGCGAGGGCCGGCCGACGGCUGAUCGGCAGGGACAAGGCGUUCAAUCGGCUCAAGGAACUCCUGGACGAGCUACCGCUAAUCCAGCAGAGCUUGCGGAAUCUCGUCAACCUCAAGAUCCACGCCGGCAGCAGCCGGGGCCGAGGAUACUCGCGCUCCGUGUCACGACGGGCGACUGGCCCGCUGCUACCGGCGGCGCCGGGCCGAGAACUAUUCGUGGGGUACGAGCGGGAGUAUGGCCGGCUCGUCUCGGCUUUACUCGACGUCAGCGACGAGCCCAGCAGCAGCAGCAGCAACAAGAAUGUCGUGGCGGUCAUCGGCCACAGCGGCACCGGGAAGACCACGAUCGCUCGGCGGGCAUGGCAUGACAAGAGCAUCAACAACAAGCACUUCGAUCUGAUGGUGUGGGCGAGCGUUCCAUACAUGUUCACCCAGACCGAGCUGUUGACCGAGAUCUGGAGGUCCAUCCCCGGAUCAAGCUGCGUGGACGAGAAAUGCGCCGCCGCGGAGAUGAGCUUCGGCGUGCUACAGCAGGCGGUCCGCUGGCUGGUCGGCUCCAGGAGGUACCUGCUCGUGCUCGACGACGUGUGCAACGACGAGUCCGGCCAUGGCCGGACGGAGAUGAUGAUGAGGAGAACUUGGGAGGACGUGCUAGCUCCGUUCCGAAACGGAGGCAACGGAAGCAGGAUCCUGAUGACGUGCCGAGCUACCAUCUGCGCCAAGGUACUCGAUGCCGGCACCAAUAUCCCGCUGAAUGGGCUCGGCGCCGAUGACCUCGUCCUGGUGCUCAAGAAAACCGCCUUCGGUGACGCCCAUAAAGAAACUCCGGAUAUCGACGGUGUGAUCAGGAGUGUCGCGGAGCAGCUGAGGGGCUCGCCAUCGACGGCGAAAACUAUCGUCCACAUGGUGAGGAACAAACAACGGAAGAAAGACUGGAAGAAACUAUUGGAGAAGGUAGGAUCAUGGUACUACGGCGCCGGCCUCGCCGGCGAGGCUAGUCUUGCCGGCGCCGUCGACGCGUCCAGCUACAGGAAUCUGCCGCAGCACCUGCGGUCUUGCUUGGGAUUCUGCAGCAUGUUCCCCGACAAAUGGGAGUUCGAACCUGAAACGUUGGUCAAGAUGUGGAUUGCACAUGGCAUCAUCCGCGGCGGCGACGGUGAUCGCAGCCAGAGCAUGGAGGAUGUGGGGAGAGAAUGCGCCAGAGAGCUGCAGGCAAGGUCCAUGCUCAAAACCACCUCCAAGGAUGGCAGCGGGACCUGCUUUGUCAUCCAAGAGCAGGUCCAUUCGAUGCUCCAGGCGUCCGAGUUCUUCAGGUUGAGCAACGAUGAUCUUAACAGAAGAAGAAGUCGUUGCAUCCCACCAAGUGUUCGACACCUAUCGCUGACCGGUGGAGGUUGUCUGGCCCUAGCACAGCUCAAGGAUAACCCUGUGCUGAAGAAGCUGCGGACACUGUUAAUUUUCGAUGAUGGCCACUCAAGCUCGGGCACUAAUGUUUCCGCCAUUGACAACCAUGUACUGAAGCAGCUCAAGGCCGUUAGAGUGCUCGACUUUGCCGGCACACGCAUCACCGAGUUGCCGAAAGACGUUGGCAAGCUGAAGCAUCUGCGGUACCUAGGUCUGCCCGACUCUGUCAGGAGCCUUCCUGCUACUGUUACCAAGCUGCUGCACCUACAGACGCUGUCUCUCGGCAAAGACUGCAAGCUUGAUGACGACCAUGGGUUCCCGGGUGAUGGCAUGAGCAACUUGGUGAACCUGCGGCACCUCGACAUGGACAUGAAGUACGUUGCCAUGAUACGUCGCAUCGGGAGGCUGGAGAGACUCCAGGGGUCCGUCGAGUUCUGUGCCGACAGGGGAAAGGGCCAUGGCAUGGAAGAGCUUGCAGGCAUCGACUUCCUCCACGGCACGCUCACCGUGAAGGGGCUUCAGGCCGUCGCCGGCAAAGAAGAAGCUCAGAAGGCUCAGCUUGCGAAUAAAGAAUCUCUCAAGGCCCUGAAGCUGGAAUGGGAGCUCCCCAAGCUGGGGGCACGAACUUGCUCCACCUCCACGGACUCACAGGAGCAAGUCCUGGAGGGGCUCCAACCAAAUGGUAGGAUCGAGGAGCUGCAAAUCCAGAGGUACUUGGGCACAUCGUCGCCUAGCUGGCUGGGGAGCAACCUGCUGGCAAGCCUGAGCCGACUGCAUCUCAUAAACUGCAGGAAGUGGCGGGCGCUGCCAUGCCUGAGCCAGCUGCCUGACCUCAGAGUCCUGCACAUCAAAGAGAUGUACGCCAUUGAUCGGAUCGACGACGGGCUCUACGGCGCCGGCAUGCUCCGGUCGCUGGAGAAACUCGUGCUGGAUGACAUGCCCAAUUUGGUCGAGUGGAGCGCGGAUUUGACUGACGAAAAAUUUCCUCGCCUCCAGGAUGUACUCAUCCUCAACUGCCCUAGACUGGCGAAGCUGCCCCGUGUGCCGGCCACCGUGAAGAAGAUGAGGAUAGAGAAGGACAGCAGCUCCUACUACCUGGACAUGGCCUUCUCCCCCAAAUCCAGCUCCUUCACGCUGGACGUCCACGGGGAGGCCGUCCAGCUGCUGCACCAGGACUUCCUGCACCGGAAUCAAGCACUGAAGGUCAGCGCCUUGAGCAUCAGCAAGUACGCAGGGGAGACGGACGCGAACCUUUCGCUGAGCCGAUGCGAGGAGACAGACAGACAAUUGGGGGUGUUCCUGGAGAACCUGCGAUCGCUGGAGAUCCUGCAGAUAUCCGACUGCGGCGAGUUCCGUGCAUUCCCGGAGGACGCCAUGCCGCCGUCGUUGAAAUACAUCGAGGUGAAUGGAUGCCACCCGACGCUCGCGGAGAAGCUGCGUGGGAGCGCUAGGAUCUGUUCCAUCCCCAGGGUACACAUUUGCUGA